rnacentral:rRNA from 1 species
UACGUAGGGUGCGAGCGUUGUCCGGAAUUAUUGGGCGUAAAGGGCUCGUAGGCGGUUUGUCGCGUCGGGAGUGAAAACCAUGAGCUUAACUGUGGGCUUGCGGUCGAUACGGGCAUCACUGGAGUUCGGCAGGGGAGACUGGAAUUCCUGGUGUAGCGGUGAAAUGCGCAGAUAUCAGGAGGAACACCGGUGGCGAAGGCGGGUCUCUGGGCCGAUACUGACGCUGAGGAGCGAAAGCGUGGGGAGCGAACAGG